GAGAACAACAGUGUUUUCACCGUAAAUGCAAUUGGAAUUCCUUGUAUAAGUGGCGAAAUCACCGAAGUUGAAGUGGAAGAAAUGGAAAAGUAUUUUGGCCUGAAAAGACACACAUUAAAUCGAGGAAGUGGCAAACUGGAUGUAUUAAUUGGUAUAGAUCAUGCUACCAUGCAUACCGGUGAAAUAAAGCAAGUUGGCAAUAUGGUCGCCCGUC